rnacentral:tRNA from 1 species
GCCUGGGUGGCUCAGUUGGUUAAGCAUCUGACUUCAGCUCAGGUCAUGAUCUCAUGGUUUGUGGGUUUGAGCCCCACAUCAGGCU